rnacentral:rRNA from 1 species
UACGUAGGGUGCAAGCGUUGUCCGGAUUUAUUGGGUUUAAAGGGUGCGUAGGCGGCUUUGUAAGUCAGUGGUGAAAUACUCUAGCUUAACUAGAGGGGUGCCAUUGAUACUGCGGAGCUUGAGUACAGAUGAGGUAGGCGGAAUUGACGGUGUAGCGGUGAAAUGCAUAGAUAUCGUCAAAGAACACCGAUAGCGAAGGCAGCUUACUGGGCUGUAACUGACGCUGAUGCACGAAAGUGUGGGGAUCAAACAGG